UUUUUUUGCAUGACUCGUAGUUUUUUGUUGAAAACUGGGUAUUUUAGAUAAUAUACUGUAACAACUUUGAAUAUUAAUCCCCCAGGGAAUAUUGUUGGUGUUUUUGUUUAGCAAUUUCUCUGAUAGAAUUAUACAAAGUCUAUUUGCACCACAAUGUGCAGCCUUGAUGCUCCUGCUCAGAUCUAUGUAGAAAAUAUUUAUUUAUUUGAAAGGCAGAGUGAUAGGCUGCAAGGGAAAGAGAGAAAGAGAGAGAGAGAGAAUAUUCCAUCUGCUGGCUCACUCUCCAAAUGUGUGGAACUCCUUCCCGACCUCCCACAUGGGUGGCAGGAGCUUAAGUACUUGGGCCAUCAUCCCUGCUUCCCAGACACAUUAGCGGGGAUCUGGAUCAGAAGCAGAGCAACCAGGACUCAAACUAACACCCCCAUAUGAGCUGCUGGGGUCCUAAGAAGCUGCUUAACCCUCUGUGCCACAAUGCUGGGCCCCGCUCAGAUUUUUUCUCCUUGGUUUGCAUCUUUCAUCUGACUGGCUAAAGGGUACCUCUGUGUUGGUUGCAAGGCAUAUGUUGGCCAAAGUUGUGCAUUACCUCCUGUACUAGUUAGUUUUCACCCUUUACCAAUGGAUGCAUGUGGUUUGGAAGCUUUGGUUACAAUCUGGGGAGCUUACCGUUUGGGCCUUAUUCAGUGAGGGACUGGUAGCACAGGGGUUCCUGGGAUGCAUCCCUGGGCAUGCACACCUUCAGGGAUGCUUGUGAUUUUAUUUUUAAAACCUGACCUCCUCGGUGUCACCGUGGGUCAGAUAGCUUAUUGCUCAGUCAGUGGUGGGUCAGGUGCUGUGGCUCAGCUCUUUGUGCUAAUGAGACGUCUUCUGCAUGUUGACAGCUCUGUGAGCAGCUGGGGAGAUCCUUCCUAGUCGACCCACAUCCUGCUGUGAUUGUCCCUGAGCAGGUGCAACGGAGCACCUGGGCACAUCACUUCCUGACCCGAGUUGAUUUGUGAUCCCCAGGAAGCUUUUCUUGGUAGUCCCGUUUUCUGAAUCUUUCUCCUAAACUUCCACUCUCUCAUUUCCUGUAACAGUGCCGCCAGCCCCGUCUUCAUUGCCCUCCACUGUUUUCCACAUGGGCUUGGGUGUGGACUGCCCCACACUUCAAGAAAUGAAGUCAGUCCUCUCAGAGCGGCAGCACUCCUCCGUCCCUAAGAGCCGCCUUUGCCUGGAUGACCCCACUCUCUGGGGAGCGGGUCCACCCAGAUGCUCAUGCCUCCUUCAUAAAGUCUUGAAACCAUACAGUCUGUUAUUUGAUGAAGGCCAUGGAGUUUUGAAGAAGGUGUUACACACAUUAUUGUGGGAAGAGCUGACUAACAUGAAUAGAGCGAGCAGUAUGGAUUCUCAUGAGAUACUAUAACAUGAUGACUUAAAAUACAACUUCUGAAGUUCAGCAGGGGCUGGUGCUGUGGCGCAGUGGAUUAAUGCCCUGGCCUGAAGCACCGGCAUCUCAUGUGGGCACCAGUUAAAGACUCCGCUGCUCCACUUCUGAUCCAGCUCUCUGCUAUGGCCUGGGAAAGCAGUAGAAGACGGCCCAAGCCCUUGGGCCCCUGCACCAGCGUGGGAGUCCUGGAGGAAGCUCCUGGCUCCUGGAUUCAGCUGGCGCAGCUCCAGCCAUUGCAUCCAAUUGGAGAGUGAAACAUUGGAUGGCAGACCUCUCUCUUUCUGACUCUCCUCCCUCUGUGUGACCCUGACUUUCAAAUAAAAAAUAUUAAAUCUUUGGGAAAAAAAAAGAAAAGAAAAUGUAUCUGAGUGGAGAAUGGGACUGGG